rnacentral:rRNA from 1 species
AAGUCGAGCGAGGCCAGGGGGCAACUCCUGAGUCGAGCGGCGAACGGGUGAGUAACGCGUGGAUAACCUGCCCAGAGGUGGGGGAUAACCCGGGGAAACUCGGGCUAAUACCGCAUGAUACCGAGAGGUCAAAGGCGGCUCGCAAGGGCUGUCGCCAUUGGAGGGGUCCGCGUCCGAUUAGCUAGUUGGUAGGGUAAUGGCCUACCAAGGCCACGAUCGGUAGCCGGCCUGAGAGGGUGAUCGGCCACACUGGAACUGAGACACGGUCCAGACUCCUACGGGAGGCAGCAGUGGGGAAUUUUGCGCAAUGGGCUAACGCCUGACGCAGCAACGCCGCGUGUAGGAUGAAGGUCUUUGGAUUGUAAACUCCUGUCAGCGGGGAAAAAGCGACUCGGCUUAAUACGCCGGGGAGUUGAUUGUACCCGCAGAGGAAGCCCCGGCUAACUCUGUGCCAGCAGCCGCGGUAAUACAGAGGGGGCAAGCGUUAUUCGGAAUUAUUGGGCGUAAAGGGCGCGUAGGCGGCUUGGCAAGUGGAAGGUGAAAUCCCUCGGCUUAACCGAGGAACUGCCCUCCAAACUGCUUUGCUUGAGGCCGGGAGAGGUGAGUGGAAUUCCCAGUGUAGCGGUGAAAUGCGUAGAUAUUGGGAGGAACACCAGUGGCGAAGGCGGCUCACUGGACCGGUUCUGACGCUGAUGCGCGAAAGCGUGGGGAGCAAACGGGAUUAGAUACCCCGGUAGUCCACGCCGUAAACGAUGAGUGCUUGGUGUAGCGGGUAUCGACCCCUGCUGUGCCGAA